UAUCUAUAAGACGUGGGAAUUAACGUUACGGAAACGGAGCUAAUACCGGAUAAUAUUUCGAACCGCAUGGUUCGAUAGUGAAAGGUGGUUUUGCUAUCACUUAUAGAUGGACCCGCGCCGUAUUAGCUAGUUGGUAAGGUAACGGCUUACCAAGGCGACGAUACGUAGCCGACCUGAGAGGGUGAUAGGCCACACUGGAACUGAGACACGGUCCAGACUCCUACGGGAGGCAGCAGGA
rnacentral:rRNA from 1 species